rnacentral:rRNA from 1 species
GUGGGGAAUCUUAGACAAUGGGGGAAACCCUGAUCUAGCCAUGCCGCGUGAUCGAUGAAGGCCUUAGGGUUGUAAAGAUCUUUCAGCUGGGAAGAUAAUGACUGUACCAGCAGAAGAAGCCCCGGCUAACUCCGUGCCAGCAGCCGCGGUAAUACGGAGGGGGCUAGCGUUGUUCGGAAUUACUGGGCGUAAAGCGCACGUAGGCGGACCAGAAAGUCAGGGGUGAAAUCCCGGGGCUCAACCCCGGAACUGCCUUUGAAACUCCUGGUCUUGAGGUCGAGAGAGGUGAGUGGAAUUCCGAGUGUAGAGGUGAAAUUCGUAGAUAUUCGGAGGAACACCAGUGGCGAAGGCGGCUCACUGGCUCGAUACUGACGCUGAGGUGCGAAAGCGUGGGGAGCAAACAGGAUUAGAAACCCGUGUAGUCC